rnacentral:tRNA from 1 species
AGCGGGGUAGAGCAGUGGUAGCUCGCAAGGCUCAUAACCUUGAGGUCGUGGGUUCAAUUCCCACCCCCGCAACCA